rnacentral:rRNA from 1 species
GAAACUGCGAAUGGCUCAUUAAAUCAGUUAUCGUUUAUUUGAUAGUACCUUACUACUUGGAUAACCGUGGUAAUUCUAGAGCUAAUACAUGCUAAAAACCCCGACUUCGGAAGGGGUGUAUUUAUUAGAUAAAAAACCAAUGCUCUUCGGGGCUCCUUGGUGAUUCAUGAUAACUUAACGAAUCGCAUGGCCUUGUGCCGGCGAUGGUUCAUUCAAAUUUCUGCCCUAUCAACUUUCGAUGGUAGGAUAGUGGCCUACCAUGGUUUCAACGGGUAACGGGGAAUUAGGGUUCUAUUCCGGAGAGGGAGCCUGAGAAACGGCUACCACAUCCAAGGAAGGCAGCAGGCGCGCAAAUUACCCAAUCCCGACACGGGGAGGUAGUGACAAUAAAUACUGAUACAGGGCUCUUUUGAGUCUUGUAAUUGGAAUGAGUACAAUUUAGAUCCCUUAACGAGGAACAAUUGGAGGGCAAGUCUGGUGCCAGCAGCCGCGGUAAUUCCAGCUCCAAUAGCGUAUAUUAAAGUUGUUGCAGUUAAAAAGCUCGUAGUUGAACCUUGGGCCUGGCUGGCCGGUCCGCCUCAC